rnacentral:rRNA from 1 species
CCUACGGGUGGCAGCAGUGGGGAAUAUUGGACAAUGGGGGAAACCCUGAAGCAGCGAAGCCGCGUGAGUGAAGAAGUAAUUCGUUAUGUAAAGCUCUAUCAGCAGGGGAGAAAAUGACGGUACGUGAGUAAGAAGCCCCGGCUAACUACGUGCCAGCAGCCGCGGUAAUACGUAGGGAGCAAGCGUUAUCCGGAUUUACUGGGUGUAAAGGGAGUGUAGAGGGCAUUGCAGGUCCGGAGUGAAAGGCGGGGGCUCAACCCCCGGACUGCUCUGGAUACUGUACGGCUGGAGUGCAGGAGAGGUAAGUGGAAUUCCUAGUGUAGCGGUGAAAUGCGUAGAUAUGAGGAGGAACACCAGUGGCGAAGGCGGCUUACUGGACUGUAACUGACGUUGAGGCUCGAAAGCGUGGGGAGCAAACAGGAUUAGAUACCCUUGUAGUC